rnacentral:rRNA from 1 species
GAUGAACGCUAGCUACAGGCUUAACACAUGCAAGUCGAGGGGAAACGACAUCGAAAGCUUGCUUUUGAUGGGCGUCGACCGGCGCACGGGUGAGUAACGCGUAUCCAACCUGCCCAUCACUUGGGGAUAACCUUGCGAAAGUAAGACUAAUACCCAAUGAUAUCUCUAGAAGACAUCUGAAAGAGAUUAAAGAUUUAUCGGUGAUGGAUGGGGAUGCGUCUGAUUAGCUUGUUGGCGGGGUAACGGCCCACCAAGGCAACGAUCAGUAGGGGUUCUGAGAGGAAGGUCCCCCACAUUGGAACUGAGACACGGUCCAAACUCCUACGGGAGGCAGCAGUGAGGAAUAUUGGUCAAUGGGCGAGAGCCUGAACCAGCCAAGUAGCGUGCAGGAAGACGGCCCUAUGGGUUGUAAACUGCUUUUAUAAGGGAAUAAAGUGAGAGUCGUGACUCUUUUUGUAUGUAUCUUAUGAAUAAGGACCGGCUAAUUCCGUG